GCCUCCCCGCCGCAGAGCCGGCCGCGCGGGGGAGCUCGGCCGCCGCCGCCGCCUCCGCCCCGCCGCCCGCCGCCCCGGGGCUUCCGAAGUUUCUGGGUCACGUGCCGGCCCCGAGGUCGCGCCGAGUAACAAAGAGGCCGUUCAAGGAAACCAGAGACUCUCCAGCAUCGGGAAAGGUAGCAGGGAGACCUACGCUGCAACUUUCUCCUGUGAAAACGUUGUGAGGCAUACCGACGGCAUAGAGCUCUUUAACAGAAAAUAGGGAAAACUGGAGAGAAAUAAACCAUUGUAACCGCUUA